rnacentral:lncRNA from 1 species
UUAUUUUUUUUCCCUUUUUGUUAAAUUUUCUUAUAUAUAUAUUUCUUAUAUAUAUAUAUAUAUAUCCUCUCUAUCAUAUUCACUUAUGAUCAAUGUGAUCUCGACACGUUGCGCAGCGUGUUCACGAGGUACUAGAAUUCAUUGGCAUGUUUGGCUUAGGCUUCGUUUGAGAUUACAAAAAGAUUACGUUACGUAUGGUGAGAAAGAAUGAUGAAAAAAUAUUCUGUUUAUAUCCGUACAUAAUAUUGCGUUUCACAUAUCGCGAUCCAUCAAAGAACGCAGAAGCAUAUUCCUAUAUACUUUUUAUUUUAACUUUAUUUUAUCUAAUGACGUCAAUCUUAAUACCAAACCAAGCUUUAGACGGUAGGAUUAGCAUUUGGGGAAAUACAUUGGUGCCCGCGUAGAUUUUAACUUUUAUGUUUCGAGAAAGAAAAAAAUAGUAAGUUAUCUGUUUCAUUCAGUAUAAGCAAUAAAUUUAAAUUUCGCGCAGCAAUAAAAUGUCAGUCGAUGU